AACUCAAAGGAAUUGACGGGGGCCCGCACAAGCGGCGGGGCAUGCGGAUUAAUUCGAUGCAACGCGAAGAACCUUACCAAGGCUUGACAUGAACCGGAAAGGCGUAGAAAUACGUCCCCCACUUGUGGUCGGUUUACAGGUGGUGCAUGGUUGUCGUCAGCUCGUGUCGUGAGAUGUUGGGUUAAGUCCCGCAACGAGCGCAACCCUCGUUCUAUGUUGCCAGCACGUGAUGGUGGGGACUCAUAGGAGACUGCCGGGGUCAACUCGGAGGAAGGUGGGGAUGACGUCAAAUCGUCAUGCCCCUUAUGUCUUGGGCUUCACGCAUGCUACAAUGGCCGGUACAAAGGGUUGCGAUACUGUGAGGUGGAGCUAAUCCCAAAAAGCCGGUCUCAGUUCGGAUUGGGGUCUGCAACUCGACCCCAUGAAGUCGGAGUCGCUAGUAAU
rnacentral:rRNA from 1 species